rnacentral:rRNA from 1 species
AUGCAAGACUACUUUGCGGACAAUCCUACCUAUCCACCGCACCUAUUCCGGAGAAGCUAUCAAAUGCGCCGAUCCCUCUUCGUAAAAAUUGUGCAAACUUGCGAGGGCAAUUCUCGGUUUUUUACUCAAAGGAGAAACGUUGCAGGCUUGUCGGGUUUUAGCGCUUAUCAAAAAAUCUUUGCAGCUAUGCGAGUGACUGCAUAUGGCAUUUCCGGCUGA